rnacentral:tRNA from 1 species
GGGUCGUUAGCUCAGUUGGUAGAGCAGUUGACUUUUAAAUCAAUUGGUCGCAGGUUCGAAUCCUGCACGACCCA